rnacentral:tRNA from 1 species
GAGGGUGUAGCUCAGUGGUAGAGCACAUGCUUAGCAUGCACAAGGUCCUGGCUUCAACCCCGAGCACCUCCA